CAGCCAAAGCCACAGUGAACGCAAUAUUAAUUUUCCUCAAGAAAAUAAAAUGACGGCGAGCAGAACCGCUGCACAAUAGAGCCUCUGAAAGAAUCUGUUGCUAUGUGCUCAGCGGCACUCCAGUCAGACAUGCUUUCUGAACGCACUCCUCUCUGUAGCUCGUUUCCUUGGCAACGGGAUGCUAUUUUACCUCAUUGUUCCUUUUUAACCGUCGCCGUCCUUGAAACGUUUCUUUCUCGGGUGUGUGGGAGAGCUCAGUUUGUGGAAGCGUGAGGCCAACAGGCUGCCGCAGGAGCUGCAUCUGAGCCUGUAGCCGGGGAAAGUGUCCAGACAGGAGCGGCCUGGAAGCCCGUCGAAAACAGCUCAAGGGGAACAGGGAUGCGGACAUUACACGGUCCUGGCCCUGUGCAAACCUGCUUUCUGAGAAGCAGGGGGGGUCAGUGCAGCGCUUGAGUGUGGGUGUACAGUCAGCCGCUUAAUGUUUGGGGCAAUGACAUAUUUUUUUGUAAUUAAUUUUGCUCUGUACUCCACAAUAUAAGAUUUGUAAUCAAAUAAUUCACAAAAUUGUUAAAGUGCACAUUCUCAGUUUUUAUUUGAGGGCAUUUUUUUACAUUUUGGUUUCACCAUUUAGUCUCCUCAUUUCAGGGCACCAUAAUGUUUGGGACAAAUGGCUUCACAGGUGUUUCUGAUUAGGUAUGUUAAAUUGAUUCCUCAGUGUAUGUAUAAGAGCGGUAUUAGUGUCUUGAUUCUGGGCUUUUGAUUGCCUUUGGAGUUUGUUAUUGGUGUUUGUCAAACCACUAGGUAUCCAUAAAAACAGGAUGGCCAGGUUAUAGUUUGCAAAGAAAUACGUAAAAGAGCCUGCAGAGUUUUGAAAAAAAAGGUCUUGUGGACCAAGAUUCACUUUGUUAAAGUGAUGGCAGGAGUGAAGUGUAGGCAAAAGGAACUGCCCAAGAUCCAAAAUACACCUUCUCCCCCCGUCAUCUGCAAAACAUGGUGGUGGGGGUGUUAUGGUUUUGGCAUGUAUGACUGCCACAGGUACUGGCUCAUUUUUCUGUGUUGAUGAUGUAACUGCUGAUAGCAAUAGCAGAAUCAAUUCUGAAGUGUAGAGAUGCAUCUUAUCUACUCAUGUCCAGAAAAAACUCAUUGGGCAGCACUUCAUCCUACAGCAGGACAAUGAUCCCAAACAUACUGCUAAAGCAACCGAAGAGUUUUUCACAGCCAAAAUUCUUGACUUCCCAAGUUAGUCACCUGAUAUAAAUCCAAUAUGAAUGAAUAUGCUGAAGAGAAAACGUAAGGCAACAACUAGCUGAAGAUGGCUGCAGUACAGGAGAAGAUACUAGAGCAUCACCAGAGAAGAUACUCAGCACCUGGUGACGUCUAUGGGGCACAGACUUGAAGCAGUCAUUGCAUGCAAAGGAUGUGCAACAAAGUACUAAACAUGACUACUUUCAUUUACACAACAUUAAUACGUCCCAAACAUUAUGGUGCCCUGAAAUUAUGAAAUAGCACCAUAAAGGCCAGAACUAGCCAUUGUGGUGUUAUGUAUAAAAGGUGCUGUAAUUUCUACAUGGUGAAACCAAAGUGUAUAGUAAUACCCUUACAUAAAAGCAGAGAAUGUGGACUUAACAUGUGCAUUGUUUUAUUACAAAAGUAAAAUUGUGGAGUACAGAGCCAAAUAAAAAAAUUUUAAAAAUAGAAAAAGGCUUUGUCCCAGACAUUAUGGAGCUCACUAUAAGUCUUUGUGGAGAUGGUCAGGGUGUCCGGCAAAAAGGCGUUACUGUUGGACUCAAAUGACUUUCAUUAUGGAUGUCUUAAUAUUUCUGGAAUUUAAAUAUAUUUUAAUAAAAUGUUUCUCCUGGGUGUUAAUCAUAGCAUACAUAGUGUACCAUUAGGAACAAAUAUAUGACAGUAAAAUUAAUGUAUAUUUUGUGAUUUGGCCAUUGGUUUUAAGCAGAAGCCUUUCCUGCUGUGUUUCUGCAGUUACUUCCUGUUGCAUCAUUUUCUGCAUCUGCCUGCCAAAUUCAGUGCUUCUAUUAAAGUUCUUGGUUCAUGAGGUGAACUGCAGGUUUCUCUGUGUCAGUACAGUCAUCUGUCCUAGUGCCGUGUCUGUGGAUAGGACAGCUUAAUAUUAAUGGCUCCGCCUUGAUAAUCUGAGUUAUGUAAAAAAAAAAAAAAUGGUGGGGGUUAUUUGUAACCACAAACAUUGCAUAAAUAGGUGACAGGAGUUGCACAUAAUAUUCUCUUAUUAGCGGUUUUGUGUGGCUGGUGAUGCCACCAUGCUGUUGCAGAAACAUUGUUGAAUGCCAGGCUGAUCCUUAGAAACAUUCAGGAAUGUUUUGGGCGCAGAAUGGAACUGUAUGGUGCAACAACAUUACUGUUCCACAAGCAGUUUGCAUGCCUAUUUAGCUCCUGGCACCCUUAGUAAAUUAAUAUGCACUUGAACAGACCUGUCAAGUCUAGGAGUAAUCAACCAAACCUUUGGCACCAUUUUAAUGUGAAGUUCUGUGACCUGUAUUGCUGAGGUAAUGUUGAGUACUGUGCUAGGUGGGCUUUUGAGCAAACUGACCUUUCCUUUAUGCUAGCAUUUUGCUGGCAUGUGUUGUUAUGGGUCAAUAUGACUCAAUGAAAUACCCCUACCUAAAGGAUGUUCCACUUUGUUUCUGCAUGUGAAUUGUCAUACUUUCUGCUUUUUUAUGCUGAACACAUGCUGACACAAUAUAAUUUUUAGCUAGGCAUUGGGGCGAUAUAGCUCAGGAGGUAAGACCGAUUGUCUGGCAGUCGGAGGGUUGCUGGUUCAAACCCCGCCCUGGGCAUGUCGAAGUGUCCUUGAGCAAGACACCUAACCCCUAACUGCUCUGGCGAAUGAGAGGCAUCAAUUGUAAAGCGCUUUGGAUAAAAGCGCUAUAUAAAUGCAGUCCAUUUGUAGGAGCCUCCAGUAGCACCUACAGGUCAGCAGGCACAGUAGAUGUACAGUCUUAUAUUUUCAGUUGAAGACUAAAAAAAAGUUGUACUUGCAUGUAAUUGUCUGCUGAUCACAUCCUGGUACUGAGCCAUUUUAGCUGGGCAUUGUAGGAGCCUGUAGCGCCAUUAGUUACACUAGAUGUAUAACAGAUGUACAGUAGACCACUAUGUUUGCAGUGGAAGCCUGAAAAUGGGCUCACAACUACAUUUCUAUGAGCUAAACAAAAUCUGACACAAUGCUAUGUUCCCUGGGCAUUUGGAGCCUGUAGUGCCACCUAUAGGUCAAUGAUUAAACUCAAUGUAUAGUCGACCCCUGUUGAGUGGAACCCUCACCCUAACUGGCACACUUCCACUUUCAGGUGCUGACUAGAAUGGGUACAGGGCCAUUUUAGUUGAAUAUGGUAUGAGUCUGUUUCCAUCUGUGGGCCAAUGGUUCAGUAUGUAUUUUGGAUCCUUCCCUUUUUCAAUAGAAACAUGAAAUUUGGCAUAAAUGCAUAUUGCUUUGCACUGAACACAAGCUGAGACGGUACCACUCUUGGUAGUCUGUGGCAUCAUCUACGGGGGAGGGGCUCAAGCUAUAUGGCUCCUAGGGUUAGGUUUGUGUGUGGAUGCAGGUGUGUGUGUGUGUGGUAGUUUGUGUGUCCUGGAUAGUUCUGUUAGCUAUUAUUAUAGCAUUAUGCUGGGCUUGUGGUAUGUCAGCAUCCUGUUUUAUGUGAUAUUAUAUAUUUUUA